rnacentral:lncRNA from 1 species
ACGAAUCACGCAAAGAUAGGAACAAGCGAGAUGAAUUCUUUUAUUCCCACAGGUUCCUGUGGUUUGCAGGCAUGCAUCUCUCCUUGUGGAUUCACCAAGCUUUACAUAUUCACAGUUACUACAGAGUCUACAAACCUUUCUAUCACAAAAUCUCAACAAACACUACAACUAUACCUUCAAAGCUUAUUCAGAUCACAGGUCUUCUCCAUCAGCUCUGCUCCGAUUGCUCGUGUGUUUACCGGCACCGGCCUCCACAUGAAGAAGCACUGAGUGCCGCGGAUGGUGUUCUGGCGCUUGCUGUGGAGAAGAGAUUGAUGGAAGCUUCUGCGGAGUACAUACUACUGU